rnacentral:rRNA from 1 species
AUUGAACGCUGGCGGCAGGCCUAACACAUGCGAGUCGAACGGUAGCACAGAGAGCUUGCUCUCGGGUGACGAGUGGCGGACGGGUGAGUAACGUCUGGGAAACUGCCCGAUGGAGGGGGAUAACUACUGGAAACGGUAGCUAAUACCGCAUAACGUCGCAAGACCAAAGUAGGGGACCUUCGGGCCUCACACCAUCGGAUGUGCCCAGAUGGGAUUAGCUAGUAGGUGGGGUAAUGGCUCACCUAGGCGACGAUCCCUAGCUGGUCUGAGAGGAUGACCAGCCAAACUGGAACUGAGACACGGUCCAGACUCCUACGGGAGGCAGCAGUGGGGAAUAUUGCACAAUGGGCGCAAGCCUGAUGCAGCCAUGCCGCGUGUAUGAAGAAGGCCUUCGGGUUGUAAAGUACUUUCAGCGGGGAGGAAGGCGGUGAAGUUAAUAACUUCACCGAUUGACGUUACCCGCAGAAGAAGCACCGGCUAACUCCGUGCCAGCCGCCGCGGUAACAC